UGGGGAAUUUUGGACAAUGGGCGAAAGCCUGAUCCAGCAAUGCCGCGUGUGUGAAGAAGGCCUUCGGGUUGUAAAGCACUUUUGUCCGGAAAGAAAUCCUUGGCUCUAAUACAGUCGGGGGAUGACGGUACCGGAAGAAUAAGCACCGGCUAACUACGUGCCAGCAGCCGCGGUAAUACGUAGGGUGCAAGCGUUAAUCGGAAUUACUGGGCGUAAAGCGUGCGCAGGCGGUUUGCUAAGACCGAUGUGAAAUCCCCGGGCUCAACCUGGGAACUGCAUUGGUGACUGGCAGGCUAGAGUAUGGCAGAGGGGGGUAGAAUUCCACGUGUAGCAGUGAAAUGCGUAGAGAUGUGGAGGAAUACCGAUGGCGAAGGCAGCCCCCUGGGCCAAAUACUGACGCUCAUGCACGAAAGCGUGGGGAGCAAACAGGAUUAGAUACCCUGGUAGUCCACGCCCUAAACGAUGUCAACUAGUUGUUGGGGAUUCAUUUCCUUAGUAACGUAGCUAACGCGUGAAGUUGACCGCCUGGGGAGUACGGUCGCAAGAUUAAAACUCAAAUGAAUUGACGGGGUCAUAGCU
rnacentral:rRNA from 1 species